rnacentral:rRNA from 1 species
AUGAGUUGGGCUUUCGGCUGGGCUACCCGUUGUUCGGUUAUUUCAGAAAAAGGUGUUCAACAAAGUUUAUACCGGCAAGGUUAUGGGCAGAAUAUCAAAGGGUACAGAAGACAUACCAGCGGGGUUUCCGACAUUCUGCUCAAGGUUUUGCACCUUGAGCUCGGAUUCCGCCAACCUUUUCUUCAGGGUCUCCAUCUCUCCAGAGAGGCGCUCGUUGUUCAAGGCGGCUUUCUACACAUAACAAGCAUGGAAAUGUUUAAGUUGGUUUUCACGGACCCAAGGAGAUUCAAACCCGACGUCGCCUUUUCUAGCCAACAUCAGUCUCAGGGCCUACUACAUCAACAUUUCUUAUGA